CAGCUUUGAGAAAGAUAUUUCUGUUGUAUAGGAUAGCCUCACUAUGGGUGCAAAUAGAGUGUAUGCAAAGUUUUCUUUCCUUAUAGUACACAGUUAGUUAUAUCAGCAAACAUCUUUGUUUUAUUACUUUCCUUCUUUCACAUUUGAAUUUUCAAUCAAUUGUUGCCUUACCCAAGGACUUCAAGCCAGAUUUUGAAGACUACUCACCAGGUACUUUCAGUAUCAGGCUGCAAGUGACAAAAACGGGGACUGAACGUGACUGGAAUAUUAAGUGAUCAGUCAGAAGCAGUUACUUGGAAGAAACAUAUUUCUGGACUACAGACAGAAGGAAAGCAAACUGCUUUCUCUAUUUAAUUUUUUGGAGUUUGGCAGUUCUUUACGUUUACUCCUUCACACUUUCCUCUGGAGCAUCUUGGAGUUGGGCAGUGUUUCAUGAUUUCUGAGGGGCAUCUUUGGAGAGCAAAGCAGGACAGAAAACAUGUUAAAUGUGAUCACAAAGGCUUAGUACAAGGUUAUCAUUUCUGUGCAGAAGAACAUGACAGAAAAUGCAUGGCCGUACACACCAGUUCUGCCACCCUUUCAACAUCUAAUCACCAGAAAAAUCAAGCCCUUCAGGCAGCUCCCCGAAGAAGAAAAUUAAGGUACAUUUUUCUACUGUCUCCAACUAUUUCUGACCUCCUCAGGAAUAAAAAGACUCAGAAAUGAUCACCUCUCUGCAUAAAAUCCUGAAGUCAAACAUGAAUAAAAUGGAUAAAACUCACCAUUCUGAAUACUAUACAGGACUUCUGAUAUGGGAGUUGUCUAAAUGAAAUGGAGGACUGGAGGGAAGUAUGAAGUGUACAAGGAACCUUCCUACAUUGGCACAGCCCCUUCUUGACCUGGUUGUCUGGUAUUUGUAAAUGUUUUCAAUCAACUCUCUAUGCCCGUAUUACCUCGCUUCAAUUUUGUUCUGAGCAGCCAUACAUCUGUGCACCACAGCAUGCUGAAGACCAAAUAUCUCUAAUUAGGAACAUAACACUUUUAAUAUGUUCCACAUGGGAUCAUCACAAAUAGAGUUUACUGCCACCACAGCUCCUUGAGGGUGAGAUGGCUUCACUGCCUGACCUGUGCUUUCACAAUGUCUAUCAUGAUUUUCACCUUCCUCUUUCUCAUCUGUGCUUCCUAUAAUAUGAUGGAUAUUUCUGUUCAUAAAUGUUCC
ensembl:lncRNA